CAGGUUGAAGCGCAGGUAAAAAUGCGUGGAGGACCGAACCGGUGAGCGUUGAAAAGCUUUCGGAUGAGAUGUGGGUAGGGGUGAAAUUCCAAUCGAACGCGGAGAUAGCUGGUUCUCCCCGAAAUAGCUUUAGGGCUAGCCUCAGGUAGUAAGUAUAGGCGGUAGAGCACUGAUCGGGCUAGGGGCCAUAAAGGUUACCGAACCCUGUCAAACUCCGAAUGGAUAUACUGCAGAGCCUGGGAGUCAGACUACGAGUGAUAAGAUCCGUGGUCAAAAGGGAAACAGCCCAGACCACCGGCUAAGGUCCCAAAUGCCGUACUAAGUGGAAAAGGAUGUGGGGAUUCAUAAACAACCAGGAUGUUGGCUCAGAAGCAGCCACCAUUUAAAGAGUGCGUAAUAGCUCACUGGUCGAGAGUCCCUGCGCCGAAAAUUUCCGGGGCUAAAGUACGGAACCGAAGCCGUGGCUGUGCAUGUAAGUGCACGGGGUAGGGGAGCGUUGCCACAGGGGUGAAGCUGGUCUGGAAGGACUGGUGGACUUGUGGGAAGUGAGAAUGUUGGUAUGAGUAGCGAAAAGAAAGGUGAGAAUCCUUUCCACCGAAAGCAUAAGGAUUCCUGAGCAACGAUCGUCGUCUCAGGGUAAGUCGGGACCUAAUCCGAGGCAAAGAGCGUAGGAGAUGGACAACAGGUUGAUAUUCCUGUACCGGCAGCAAUUGUUUGAGCGAAGGAGUGACACAGAAGGGCAGGCAGGCGCGAGACUGGAUUGUCGCGUGCAAGCGUGUAGGGUAGUGUACAGGCAAAUCCGUACACUGAGAGCCUGAGGCGUUACGCGGAGCGAGCAGAGAUGCGAGCGAAGCUGCUGAUCCCACACUGUCGAGAAAAGCUUCUAGUGAGAGAGCUGCCGCCCGUACCGUAAACCGACACAGGUAUGCGGGGAGAGAAUCCUAAGGUGCGCGGGAGAACCCUCGUUAAGGAACUCGGCAAAAUGUACCCGUAACUUCGGGAUAAGGGUAGCCGUCUUGGUGAAGGAGCUUGCCUCUGGAGCUGAAGGCGGUCGCAGAGAAGAGGCCCAAGCGACUGUUUACCACAAACACAGGUGCCUGCUAAAGCGAAAGCUGACGUAUAGGUGCUGACACCUGCCCAGUGCUGGAAGGUUAAGGAAGGAUGUCCGGGCAACCAAAGCAUUCGACCGAAGCCCCAGUGAACGGCGGCCGUAACUAUAACGGUCCUAAGGUAGCGAAAUUCCUUGUCGGGUAAGUUCCGACCCGCACGAAAGGUGUAACGAUUUGGGCACUGUCUCAACGAGGGACCCGGUGAAAUUGAAAUACCUGUGAAGAUGCAGGUUACCCGCGACUGGACAGAAAGACCCCAUGGAGCUUUACUGUAACCUGACAUUGGGUUUUGUUGUAUUACGUACAGGAUAGGUGGGAGGCUUGGAAGGCUGGACGCUAGUCUGGCUGGAGCCGUCGUUGGGAUACCACCCUUGAUACAACGGAAUUCUAACCGAGAGAGUAACGAAAUCCGGGACAGUGUCAGGCGGGCAGUUUGACUGGGGCGGUCGCCUCCGAAAGAGUAACGGAGGCGCCCAAAGGUUCCCUCAGCGCGGCCGGAAAUCGCGCGAAGAGUGUAAAGGCAGAAGGGAGCUUGACUGCGAGCCAAACACGGCGAGCAGGUACGAAAGUAGGGCUUAGUGAUCCGGUGGCAUCCAAGUGGAAGGGCCAUCGCUCAACGGAUAAAAGCUACCCUGGGGAUAACAGGCUAAUCUCUCCCAAGAGUCCAUAUCGACGGGGAGGUUUGGCACCUCGAUGUCGGCUCAUCACAUCCUGGGGCUGAAGUCGGUCCCAAGGGUUGGGCUGUUCGCCCAUUAAAGUGGUACGUGAGCUGGGUUCAGAACGUCGUGAGACAGUUCGGUCCCUAUCCAUCGCGGGCG
rnacentral:rRNA from 1 species